UACGGAGGGGGCUAGCGUUGUUCGGAAUUACUGGGCGUAAAGCGCACGUAGGCGGAUUUGUUAGUCAGGGGUGAAAUCCCGGGGCUCAACCUCGGAACUGCCUUUGAUACUGCAAGUCUUGAGUCCGGAAGAGGUGAGUGGAAUUCCUAGUGUAGAGGUGAAAUUCGUAGAUAUUAGGAGGAACACCAGUGGCGAAGGCGGCUCACUGGUCCGGUACUGACGCUGAGGUGCGAAAGCGCGGGGAGCAAACAGG
rnacentral:rRNA from 1 species